AGGGCGGCAGAGGAUGAGAUGGCUAGAUAGCAUCGCCAAUUCAAUGGACUUGAAUCUGAGCAAACUCCAGGAGAUGGUGAAGGACAGAGAAGCCUGCUGUGCUGCAGUCCAUGGGGUCCCGAAGAGUUGGAUAAACCCUACGUGAACACCGAAAACUCCACCGGCUGAACUGAGGUGUGUAGGAGAACACACUCAACACUUCAGAUGUCUCCCAGUUUCCUUCUAACCCUCGUCCACACUGGAGUUAUGACUUUCCAACCACCUCACCAAUACCUCAGAAGCUGCAAUUCUUCUGACGGCUACUUCCAGCUUCAAGCUUCAGAUAAAGAAUCAAGCUUCAGAUGAAGAAUCAUAUCUUUUGCAGUGAAAAAAAAAAGUGAAAGUGUUAGUUGCUCACUCGUGUCCCAUUCUUUUCAACUCCAUGGACUGUAGCCCACCCGGCUCCUCUGUCCAUGGGACUCUCCAGGCCAGAAUACUGGAGUGGUUGCCAUUUCCUUCUUCAGGAGACUGAACCCAGGUCUCCUGCAUGCAAGAGGAUUCUUUAUCAUCUGAGCCACUAGGGAAGCCCCCUAGUAUUUAUGUCUUUUUUAAAAACAAUUUAACUUGUGCAACUGUGUUAACCUUUUUUUUACUAGGUUCCCAUCUUUAUUCAUUUUUGGCUGUGCUGGGUCUCCACUGCUGAAUGCAGGCUUUCUCUGGUUGCAGCGCGUGGGCUUCUCGUUGCAGUGGCAUCUCUUGUUGCGGAGUAUGGGCUCAGUAGGGGUUGGGUGUGGGCUUAGUUGCCUCACGGCAGGUGGAAUCUCCCCCAACCAGGGAUUGAGCCUGUGUCCCCUACACUGGCAGACAAUUUCUUAACCACUGGGCCGCCAGGGAAGUCCCAUGCUCCCAUCUUUUUAAAACUGUAUCAUUGAUGAAGUAUUUUGAGUAUCCUGCCCUAACCUCAUUUCCCCCGUAAGUCCUGUAUUUUUUAUUAUGCAAUUUUGUAUGACACCCUGAAUUUUAAGAAUGCUUCUGAUACAUCUUAGCUAAACUGACCAUAUUUGUUGAAUAGCUGGAUAAAUGCUUGCCUUUCUGAAUGAAACCCCAAUU
ensembl:lncRNA